GAACCACGGUGCGCAUCAACAUCCUCGAAGGCUAAUCUCCGAAUCAAUUUGCAUUUUCGGAUUCGUGGAGAGGCCGCAGAUAGAGCUAGAUCCCACUCUUCUCCUCCCCCAGUCGAUAUCGGCUCCAAACCGGGGAAUUGUCUGGCGGAGUUAGAGAGGGGGGAAGAAGCGGCGUUUAACUAUGGCCGAUGGUUUCUCCGUUGCUAUGGUGCAGCCUACCGCUGGCAAAUGGAAAAGGAAGUUCAGUGUCAAGCGUAAUGAGAUGCUGGUAGCUUGAUUAUGCUGUACUUACCAUUUCUUGAAUUUCCGACAUUGGCUUGAGCAUGGAGAUUUUUGCUGAGUCUGUAUUUCUAGGUGAAAGAAAAAACAAUUUAGUAUCUUACUUGAAGACAUAUAUGCGGACUAUUAUGGCAGAGCUAUACUAGAAAUUCUUUGUAUUACCUGGAGAUGACUCUUAAGAUGAUACAAUGUUAGUCCAGGGACAGCCAUGAGCCUCAUAAUAGUUUUGGGGGUGGCUUCUGCAGAGAUUUGUAAGUGUUUAGAUGAUAGCAUCGAUGCAGUUGCUUCUAAGGCAAAAAAGGUAUCAGUAGUGCAUGCUUACUAUCUGGUCCGCCGAGUUGAUUUACUGCCUCCACGAAACGAUCAUGUAGCUCUGGGGUCCAUUUUAACCUAGGCUUAGCAUCAGUUGAGAGUACAAGCCCUGACUCUCCUGGAAUAAUUCCUCCUUGCAUAAGUAAGUGCCUCUCUGAAGGGAAAGUCUGCCUAGAAGACAAGAGCUGGUUGUGGCUCUGGAGCUGUUGUUGAUGAUGAUACAUCUGAAUAAAAAUAUCGCAGGUUAGGAUAUAUAGCAAGAUAUCUCCUUUAUAUGAGCAAGAUGUACAACAUGACACUUGAGUACUUGACGCAUCUCAUAGAUUUGUACCUCUUUCAGUUCUUUUCAGUACUGAUGUCUGCUUGUAGACUGAUCCUUCCAAGAACUCUCCGCUGCAGCUUUAUCAACCCUCCGUUUCUGGUACUGGUCUUAUAAGGCAGGAAAGGGAGAAGAGAAUUUCGAAUCGUUGGAAGAAGCACUCGAACCUGACCCAAUCUUCACAGCAACUGAAAAGAGAUAUUAUCCUUAUUCCUUAGCGUACUCAAGCACAACAUACAUUUGACUAAGGCAUAUAAUUAUCACUUCAUAUGAGAGCAAACAAAUUAAAUUCCUUAUUGACCAAAGGCAUCCAGAAGAAGAACUGGUUGAUGUUUUGCCUGCAAACAAAGCAAAGAAGGAACUCAUUCUAUCACAGAUGCCUUUCUUGGGACUGCACAAAAGCAAAGUAUGGAAUAAGCAUAUGAUUCCCUUUUGUCUCCUCUGGUAAGUUUUGUACUUGUUCAGCUAUCAGGCAAAAGGAAAGUGGAUAGGCGAAUCUAAUAGGCUGUGCAUGUGUGUGAAGCAGUCUUCUGAGUUCCUUUGCUAUAUGUUCUACAUAAGGCUCAUAAACUAGGAGCUUAAGAUUGAAGAUUAGUUUCUUGAUUUCAGUGCUCUGUGUUGCUUUUCCUUUAAACCAUCCUUUGUCUUUUCUUUGCAUUGAUAAAAAAUGCAUGAGUUCAGUUCUAGAUAAGUUCAAUGGCAUAAAGUCAAAGUUAUACAGAAUAUUUGGUAUAAUUCAAUAAUAAUUUCGGUCCAUUCCUCCGUAACUUGGGAGGUUUUAGUAAUAGCAUGUGGUCAUCUCGCACUUCAUUUGUUCUGCAAUCUAGUUCAUGUUUGGACUGUGUUGCAACUUGCAAGUCACGAGUGCAAGAUGCAUUUUUUUGUUUUUGCAGAAAAAGGACUUUACAAAUUUAUUGGUAGGAUAAAUCAAGUAAAAUCAACUCUAACUUGAUACAUCAAAUCUUUUGCAUAGGAAAAUUGUAACAAUUCUUUCAAAAGAAACUAUUGGAGUGGUCCAAGACAGUACUCCUUGUUGUUGCCUAUAGCCUGCUAUAUGUAUAUUUUGCUUGCUGCAGUUAUCUGGAUCAACCAGUCCUCUCCAAAGCUGUUCAGGGAAUCCCUGUGUGUACCAAUUAUAAGUCUGUUCUUUCACUUCAUAUUAUAUAUUCAUGACAUGAUAUAUGUGCCUUGGUUCCGCUUCAAUUCCGGCAUGCUGGUGCUUAUCUGCUCCUCCAAAUUGUUGCCUUGAUUCGUCGAGCAUUGGCUGGGCAUUUUGUGCAAUGAUGACCAGUCGUGAGGAGCAUAAACUAAAACUACUAUGCAUUUGGAACAUGGAAUGAACUCCUUGUGUCCAUAGCUUUAUCUUUUGUGCUGAAUCCAAUGAAAGGGAGUGAGGAGCAUGACUUUAUCUUUUGCGCAGAUUACAUUGAGUUGUUGCUUGUUAAGUGCUUGGAAAGAAUCGUAUGCUUUCCUGUUCUUUCUCCCUCUCGGAGCUCUUGACACCAUCGUUUCGUUUGCGCAGGGAGGCACGCGAUCCCGAGAGAAGGAACAAGGGAAAGAGUGAUGCUGACAAAGCUGGCGGAAUCGGGCCCCUUUUAUUUUUGGCAAAGAUGAGAUGGAAUAUAUCGCCUAUGUCUUCCUCUUGUGUGUGGUGUGGUUUCUCUGUUCCACCGUGUAUCUCACGGCAGGCCUGCAAGACCAAGUGACCACCAACACGUGUGGACAGUUGUGUAGGUAUUAUCUUCGGAGCUCAGUGCUAAUAUUAAACCCACAUCCCGGUUGCAGGAAGAAAGUGAACCUGAACAAGGAGCAUAAUGCGUGGAGAUGGAUAGGGGUAUAGAGAGCAGUUGUUUAGUGUUUGAUAUCAUAUCUGAACAACCUGAAGAUGGUUCGUUUUUUAUAAUCUGGGAGCUUUCUCCGCAUCUUGGUUCCUGCCCGUCAGAUCCCUCAGGUAUCUGCCUUUCUGAACGGCGAAGCAAAGGUUCCAAUUUUGCUGAAUGA